rnacentral:lncRNA from 1 species
CUUUUCUGAUCUGAUCUCUUUUUCUGCUACCUGCUAGCUAGCUUCCUGUGCUGGGAAACCUACAUGCAUAUCAACAAUUUACUAUUAAUACUUGCACCAAAUAGAAGAAAAAUUGUCUAGCUUGGAUUAUGUAUUCAGAAGAAAAAUGCAAACACUAAGCUCAUUAUUAUUACCCAACCAUAGAACCAAAUAAGAAAAGGGGUAUAAUUGAUCAUUUUCGGUUAUUAACCAUGAUCGAUCAAUUUCGGUUAUUACCCAACUUCCGGAUUAAAAUGAACUGACUUGCUUGAUUGAGGCUUCAAUUUCACUUCCGAAAUCCUGAUGAGAUGC